rfam:Oryza sativa (indica cultivar-group) chromosome 1, whole genome shotgun sequence.
UCAUGGUGCAAUUAUGAGUUUUUUUCUCCAAUGUUUGAUCAUCCAUCUUAUUUAAAAUUUUCUUAUUUAAUAUAUGAUAAAAUAUGAAUAAUAAUCUAUGCGUGACUUAUUAUUUUUAUUAUUUUUAUAAAUUUUUAAAUAAGGUGGAUGGUCAAACGUUGGAUAUAAAAACCUAUAAUUGCAUUUAAA